AAGCAGGAAAAAUGAGCCGAGGAUACAAUAGCAGCACUACUAUGGAGACGAAAUGAUUCUGUUCAAAACCAAUCGGCGUCAAGUUAAGGAAAACGCAUCGAUACGUAACCCCUCCGUGCUGGGCUUUAUCCUGCCUUCACCCCAGCGUCCGCUCGCUUUUCCUGCGAGCACUGCAGCUGAGACCGGCUCUACCCAAAGAAAACGAGGGUCAGGUGAGGAGAAAACUAGUUAAAGUAGGGUGAAAGCAGUUAACGCUGUAAAUUUGGAACUGUUGUCUACUGAGAGCUGCUGUGGGUUUAUUAUUCAGCAAGCCUCGUGUCUGCACUCCGCAUAUAUCCUCGCUGACAGGGAGGAACGCCUGCUCCUGAAAACGGUUCUCACACACUGAGACAAACACUGACAGCCGCUGAAGACUCUGAAGACGUGUCGGAAACUCGGAUUGAGCUUUUCUGCUUAUAAAUUUUGGAGCUUUCCAGGGAAAAUAAACUUUUCUGUACAGAUAAAUGUACCUGCACUGUGACUCUUUGCAGUCACACUGAUCCAGUUUGGUUAGGCAUCUUCUGGAAAAUUACGAGACAUAAAAUUGUACAAAUUGAAAUCAGAAAAGGUUGGGACAGUGUGGGAAAAAUGCAAAUAAAUAAUAAAAACAUUGUUUCUGAAGAUUGUUCUUAAUCCCAUAAACUGUUUUGUUUUUGUCUUAUACCCUCAAUCUCAGGUUAGAGUCAAGCUUGAUCGAUUUCAAUGCUUCUGUCUGAGGUAAUGUUAAUUAAAAACUGAACUUUUGUUCUAUAUAUUGUUUACUGUG